CGUCUCCUUUGCUAGGCGAUGGGAUGAUUGUGCUGACUCAUGCUGAGUUAGUUACUGUGAAGUGCAGCGCAGAGGGAGUUAAAUGAAAAGCAAUCUGUGGUUUGCAGGCAUUGCGGUCCUGCACCAGAUAGGGAGCAGUAAGAUUUUUGAAGUCUUGGAAACUGCAUCUUCUUUCAGAAGGAGGAAGGAUGGUAAUUCUGAGGAAAGUUAUCAAAACUGUUCUCAGCAUUGAGCAGGCGGAAGGGGUUGGGGCGCGUGUUCGGAGAAGCAUUGGCAGGCCUGAGUUAAAAAAUGUGGAUCCUUUUUUGUUGCUUGAUGAAUUCAAAGGAGGCAAACCAGCUGGCUUUCCUGAUCACCCCCAUCGGGGUUUUGAGACGCCAUAUGUUGGUGUUGAUGGUUCCAUGAUUCUGUCUCACACCCAUAUCCGCUCUAUGUGUUUGUGUAAUAUAUGGGCCUCAGUUUCCAUGGGCUGUGCAGCCAGUUUAGGAUGCAACUCUGCAACUUGAUUCAAACUCACAGUUAGGC